rnacentral:rRNA from 1 species
UACAGAGGUCUCAAGCGUUGUUCGGAUUCAUUGGGCGUAAAGGGUGCGUAGGUGGCGCCAUAAGUCAGGUGUGAAAUCUCGGGGCUCAACUCCGAAACUGCACUUGAUACUGUGGUGCUCGAGUACUGGAGAGGAGAUUGGAAUUUACGGUGUAGCAGUGAAAUGCGUAGAUAUCGUAAGGAAGACCAGUGGCGAAGGCGAAUCUCUGGACAUUUCCUGACGCUGAGGCACGAAAGCCAGGGGAGCAAACGGG